rnacentral:rRNA from 1 species
UACGGGGGGAGCAAGCGUUGUUCGGAUUUACUGGGCGUAAAGGGCGCGUAGGCGGUCGUGACAAGUCACUUGUGAAAUCUCCGGGCUUAACUCGGAACGGUCAAGUGAUACUGUCGGACUAGAGUCCGGAAGAGGCAAGUGGAAUUCCCGGUGUAGCGGUGAAAUGCGCAGAUAUCGGGAGGAACACCAAUGGCGAAGGCAGCUUGCUGGGACGGUACUGACGCUGAGACGCGAAAGCGUGGGGAGCAAACAGG